rnacentral:rRNA from 1 species
UACGGAGGGUGCAAGCGUUGUCCGGAAUUACUGGGCGUAAAGGGCGCGUAGGCGGCCUGUUAAGUCGAACGUGAAAUCCCCGGGCUCAACCCGGGAACUGCGUCCGAUACUGGCAGGCUUGAAUCCGGGAGAGGGAUGCGGAAUUCCAGGUGUAGCGGUGAAAUGCGUAGAUAUCUGGAGGAACACCGGUGGCGAAGGCGGCAUCCUGGACCGGCAUUGACGCUGAGGCGCGAAAGCCAGGGGAGCAAACGGG